UUAUUUAUAUUAGGAUAUAUUUGUUGAUAUAAAUUCUUGGACUCUAGGAUCUAUUUAUUUAUAUCAUUGAGUCUGGUUAGAUAAUGUUCUUACUUAAAAGAAAUUUAAAAGAUUAGGAAUCCAAUUUUGCUCUUAUUUAUUUAUAAUUUGAUUUUUUUAAAAACAUAGUUACUAAGUUACAUUACAUUUGACCUAAAUAUGUUGUUCGAUAACCCCUUAAUUGUUUGAUUGAUAAGCAACAACUUAUUUAUAAAGAUUUAGAUUGAUAUGUAACUUAACAAGAUUUUUUUUUUUUCUUUUAACUGAUAGAUGUAAGAAUUAGAAUACCACGAAAUCGGUGAAUGGAAACUGUCAUUUCAUUUGGUACCAAUUAGGUGGGAGAUUAGAGGAAAUGUUGGUUCGCAAUUACGGAACUUUGUGUCGCGAGUCAAGACCGUCGGCUGGUCGUGGCGGCUCGAAGUUUCAUGCGUUGUCAAGACUCGAGGAGUCUGGCACAAAACUCAAAAUGGUCUUGAUUGGGUUAUAAUGCAUCUCAUCGUCCACUAGAUCGUCUCUAUCUUCAAUAUUUUGACGUUUUUUUAGAUCUUUCCACUUACAGUGAUUACUUUCCCUGUUGUGAGGAUUUUGUCGGUACUCUUGAGGAUGAGAUUGUGAGUGGGUGGCAAAAUAAAUUCACAAAUUAAAUUUGUGAUGAAUCUUAAAUAAAUUGGGUUAAAAUUUAAUAUAUUUGAAUACAAUUUGUUUAUUAAACACGAGUUAUUGAAUUCAUUAAUCGGAAAAACUAAGUUUUUUCUUUCUCUUUUUUUUUGGUUUUAACAAUUUAACUUCCUUUGCAAGCAAAUCCUGCAGUGCAACUUCAACAGAUUUCAAUUCUUCUUCUAAUUACAUAAUUAGAUAACGGUAGACAUCUUUGUGACUAAUGUGGAUAGAAUAAAUAUUUCUCUAAUAUUAGUAAAAGUAAAAAUUUAAAUUAUAUAAUAACAAGAUUGAUAUAAAAUAAUUUUAAUUAAUUUUUAAUUGUAAGUAUCGAUAAAUUAAGGAAAGCUAAAAAGAAAAAGAAAAAGAGACAUUUUGAACCCAACAAUUUUUCUUUAUACACAAAAUGUCACACUCCUUACCCAAUCUUUCUGGUGAAGGAGAUUGAAUUGGAAGAUGUGAAAGAGCUUUGAGUUCAAUGGCUUAUAAUAGUCUUCUAUGAAAUUGUCUUAAAAAAAGGGAAAGAAGCAUUUACACCCUCAAAAUUUAGAGAAUUAAUCACAAAUAUUUAUAAAAAAGACACUAAAAUUU
rnacentral:lncRNA from 1 species